rnacentral:misc_RNA from 1 species
AAUCGUAACAGGGUUUCCGUAGUAACUGCGAAGGAUCAUUAUCGUAGGGCUUCGGCCCUGUCGAGAUAGAACCCUUGCCUUUAUGAGUACCGUCCGUUUCCUCGGCAGGCCCGCCUGCCGAUGGACCCAAAACCAAACCCUUUUAUUACCUGUAUCAGUCUGAAAAAUAAACAAAAAUUAAAA